rnacentral:rRNA from 1 species
GACGAACGCUGGCGGCGUGCCUAAUACAUGCAAGUAGAACGCUGAAGGAGGAGCUUGCUUCUCUGGAUGAGUUGCGAACGGGUGAGUAACGCGUAGGUAACCUGCCUGGUAGCGGGGGAUAACUAUUGGAAACGAUAGCUAAUACCGCAUAAGAGUAGAUGUUGCAUGACAUUUGCUUAAAAGGUGCAAUUGCAUCACUACCAGAUGGACCUGCGUUGUAUUAGCUAGUUGGUGGGGUAACGGCUCACCAAGGCGACGAUACAUCGCCGGCCUGCGAGGGGGAACGGCCACCCUGGGACCGAGACACGGCCCAGACUCCUUCGGGAGGCAGCAGUAGGGAAUCCUCGGCAAUGGACGGAAGUCUGACCGAGCAACGCCGCGUGAGGGAAGAAGGUUCUCGGAUCGUAAAGCUUCGUUGUAAGAGAAGAACGAGUGUGAGAGGGGAAAGUGCACACUGUGACGGUAUCUUACCAGAAAGGGACGGCUAACUACGUG